GCAAGUCGAGCGAGAAAGCACUUCGGUGUGAGUACAGCGGCGGACGGGUGAGUAACGCGUAGGAAUCUACCCAGUAGUGGGGGACAACAUGGUGAAAACCAUGCUAAUACCGCAUACGCCCUAUGGGGGAAAGCGGGGGACCUUCGGGCCUCGCGCUAUUGGAUGAGCCUGCGUCGGAUUAGCUUGUUGGUGGGGUAACGGCCUACCAAGGCGACGAUCUGUAGCUGGUCUGAGAGGACGAUC
rnacentral:rRNA from 1 species